GAUGAACGCUGGCGGCGUGCUUAACACAUGCAAGUCGAACGGAAAGGCCCAAGCUUGCUUGGGUACUCGAGUGGCGAACGGGUGAGUAACACGUGGGUGAUCUGCCCUGCACUUCGGGAUAAGCCUGGGAAACUGGGUCUAAUACCGGAUAGGACCACUUCUUGGAUGUUGUGGUGGAAAGUUUUCUCGGUGUGGGAUGAGCUCGCGGCCUAUCAGCUUGUUGGUGGGGUAAUGGCCUACCAAGGCGUCGACGGGUAGCCGGCCUGAGAGGGUGUACGGCCACAUUGGGACUGAGAUACGGCCCAGACUCCUACGGGAGGCAGCAGGGGGGAAUAUUGCACAAUGGGCGCAAGCCUGAUGCAGCGACGCCGCGUGGGGGAUGACGGCCUUCGGGUUGUAAACUCCUUUCGCUAGGGACGAAGCGUUUUUGUGACGGUACCUGGAGAAGAAGCACCGGCUAACUACGUG
rnacentral:rRNA from 1 species